GAUGAACGCUAGCUACAGGCUUAACACAUGCAAGUCGAGGGGAAACGGGAGGAUAGCUUGCUAUCUUCGCCGUCGACCGGCGCACGGGUGAGUAACGCGUAUCCAACCUGCCAUCCAGCGGAGGAUAGCCUUUCGAAAGAAAGGAUAAUACUCCAUGCCCUCCUCAGAGGACAUCUGACGAGGAGCAAAGAUUUAUCGCUGGCUGAUGGGGAUGCGUCUGAUUAGGCAGUUGGCGGGGUAACGGCCCACCAAACCGACGAUCAGUAGGGGUUCUGAGAGGAAGGUCCCGCACAUUGGAACUGAGACACGGUCCAAACUCCUACGGGAGGCAGCAGUGAGGAAUAUUGGUCAAUGGACGUAAGUCUGAACCAGCCAAGUAGCGUGCAGGAUGACGGCCCUAUGGGUUGUAAACUGCUUUUAUGCGGGGGUAAAGUGAGUGACGUGUCAUUCAUUGCAAGUACCGCAAGAAUAAGGACCGGCUAAUUCCGUGCCAGCAGCUGCCGUAA
rnacentral:rRNA from 1 species